rnacentral:rRNA from 1 species
GACGAACGCUGGCGGCGUGCUUAACACAUGCAAGUCGAACGGAAAGGCCCUCCUUUUGUGGUGUGCUCGAGUUGCGAAAGGGUGAGUCACACGUGAGUAACCUGCCCUUGACUUUGGGAUAACUUCAGGAAACUGGGGCUAAUACCGGAUAGGAGCUCCUGCUGCGUGGGGGGGGUUGGGAAGUUUCGGCGGUUGGGGAUGGACUCGCGGCUUAUCAGCUUGCCGGUUGGGUUGUGGCUUAGGAAGGCUUUGACGGGUAGCCGGCCUGCGAGGGUGGCCGGCCAUAUUGGGCCGGCGCUAACGCCCGGACUCCUACGGGAGGCAGCAGUGGGGAAUAGUGCACUAUGGGCGGAAGCCUGAUGCAGCAACGCCGCGUGCCGGAUGACGGCCUUCGGUUUGUAAACCGCUUUCGCCUGUGACGAAGCGUUAGUGACGGUAAUGGGUAAAGAAGCACCGGCUAACUACGUG